GCCCUCGUAGCUCAAUGGUAGAGCGCGUCACUAGUAAUAAGGCUGAUAUGACGAGGUUGCCGGUUCGAUUCCGUCCGAGGGCA
rnacentral:tRNA from 2 species